rnacentral:rRNA from 1 species
UACGUAGGUGGCGAGCGUUGUCCGGAAUUACUGGGUGUAAAGGGCGUGUAGGCGGGACUGUAAGUCUCGUGUGAAAGCCCUCGGCUCAACCGAGGAAUUGCACGAGAAACUGCGUGGCUCGAGUCCGGGAGAGGAUAGUGGAAUUCCCAGUGUAGCGGUGAAAUGCGUAGAUAUUGGGAGGAACACCGGUGGCGAAGGCGGCUAUCUGGACCGGUACUGACGCUGAUACGCGAAAGCCAGGGGAGCAAACGGG